UUUCCGCCGUUUGAAAUUUCA
rnacentral:piRNA from 1 species